UUCCGAGAGCUUGGAAGCGCCGAGAGCCCGGGCCGGGGAGGUGCGGGAGAGGGGGGAGCCGAGCCCGAGCGGGGGGCGGCCGGGAAACCGAGAGCUCGCCCCCGGCCCCCCCAGCUCGCUCUCGCAGCGAAAUCCCAGAGUCGGGCGCCCGCCUCGAGCGGAGACAAAGAGCCGCGGAGCGGGCGGCAAAGUCGUCGGAGGCCGGGCGGCGGGCGCGAGCUUUGUGCGCCUAGGGCUCGGCGGGCUUCGGCCGGCCGCCUUCCCGGGGCUGCGUCGAGCGCGUCAGGGCCGGGGGCUGCGCGGACAUCGUCGGCUCCCCGGCGAGUCCGGCGCGGGGUCCCGAGGCCGGGGGCCCCUCCGGAUCACUCAGCAGCGCGUCGCGCCGGGGCUGCCCCAAGCAUCCGGGGCGCGCGAGUCCGACCCCCAGAGCAGCUGGGCCCGCGGCUCGCGGCGAGAAGAGAAGACAGGCGCCGAGCUGGAAGCUCGGGGCCGCAGGAGCGCCGGAGAGUGAGGGCUGGAGCCCGCCGCGGGCGCUUCGACGCCCCCCCUCGGAGAGGAGAGCCUGCUGUUCCGUCUGCUACCGCCGCCGCCGCCGCCGCCGCCGCAAGCCCUUCCCAGGGCCGGGGAGGAACUCCGGGCUCAGUAGGUGCAAAUCAACCUCCCUGGCAUCCUAACUCCAGCGGGCACCGGAAGCUUCUCCGUGAACGGGUCCUCGCCGCUCCCGGCUGGAGCGCCGCGUUCCCCACGAGGAGCGCUCGGCGCCACCGCCGCGGCCGCCUCGGAGCGCGCCGGCAGAAGAGCGCUGGAGGGGAGACGCAGCCGGGAGCCGGGGAAGUUCUUGGGGUUUUCUUCCUUUCCCCUUGGGCCGGGGUUCUCCGGGCCCCGAAAAAACCCCCAAAAAAAAAAAAUUUUUUUUCAACCAAAGGGGGGGGGGGGGGGGGGGGGAUAAAAAAAAAAAAAAAAAAAACCCCCCCCCAAAAAAAGUGCCCGGGACCUGCGGAUACCACACACAGACAGGCGAGGGGGACGAGCACGAGGUCUGAACUGCCGCGAGAGCAGUUCCAAAUAGGGACUGAAAAGUAA
rnacentral:lncRNA from 1 species